rnacentral:tRNA from 1 species
GUGCUGAUAUGGCUCAGUUGGUAGAGCGCACCCUUGGUAAGGGUGAGGUCCCCAGUUCGACUCUGGGUAUCAGCAC